AACGAACGCUGGCGGCAUGCCUAACGCAUGCAAGUCGAACGAGACCUUCGGGUCUAGUGGCGCACGGGUGCGUAACGCGUGGGAACCUGCCCCUAGGUUCGGAAUAACUCCCCGAAAGGGGUGCUAAUACCGGAUAAUGUCUUCGGACCAAAGAUUUAUCGCCUUUGGAUGGGCCCGCGUUGGAUUAGCUAGUUGGUAGGGUAAAAGCCUACCAAGGCGACGAUCCAUAGCUGGUCUGAGAGGAUGAUCAGCCACACUGGGACUGAGACACGGCCCAGACUCCUACGGGAGGCAGCAGUGGGGAAUAUUGGACAAUGGGCGAAAGCCUGAUCCAGCAAUGCCGCGUGAGUGAUGAAGGCCUUAGGGUUGUAAAGCUCUUUUACCCGGGAUGAUAAUGACAGUACCGGGAGAAUAAGCUCCGGCUAACUCCGUG
rnacentral:rRNA from 1 species